UUAGAGAUUGGGGAUAUGAUUGAAAUAAUAAGUGCCAACUCAGAUUAAUAGAAUACCAAAAUAGUAAUUGGUUGCAGCCUUAGAAUGUUAUCUGGUCAUUUUUUUCAAUUACUAUAAUUUUCAUGAAUCAAAAUCUACAUGCUUCUAUAAUGUUUUUCACAGAUGCCCCUUAUUCUCAUAGAUACAGUUCUGGAAGAGGGUGACAAAGCUUUUUUAAAGCUGUCACUGGUUUGUCGUCUCUUCCGGGACAUUGUUUGGACAACAAUCAUUCCGGGCCUGGGCACAUUUCGAGUGGCUUGACAGUGUAGUGCCAUGAAAACAUCACAGUGCUGCAUGUAAAGACGAGUUUCGCAGGAUGUACGAACUGCAGUGCUGCCAGAACUGUCAAGAAACUUAUAAAGACUACAUACUGGGCUACGUUGGGCAUGGGAGACGAGGGGAGCUUGUGGCAUUUUACAGCGAAAACGAGCACCCUGGAUUCUGCAGCCAGCUUCAUGAGUGGCUGGGUGUGUGAGUGGCUGGGUGUGUGAGUGGCUGGGUGUGUGAGUGGCUGGGUGUUGCAUUUUUAAAUAAAGACUUCUGUAUUUGUUUGACCAAAGCAUGUAACCAAACAUUUUAAAGGCUAGUGUGCCAAUAAAUGCCAAUAAAGAUAUUGUAUUAGCUUGGACAAA